AUGUACAAGAUUGGUUUGUCCUUCCAUACAGGAGUCUUUGCUAAUUGGUAAAAUUUCACCCCCCCCUCCCCACACUUCUAUCUGUUUUUUUAAGGUCAUUUUCCAUUUGGGGUUGGGGAAGAAUUUCAGAUUUUGCUCAAGAUUCAAUAGAAUGUUUUCUUUCCAAACUUUUGUUUAUGCUUUUUUUUUUCUUUCUUUCUUUCCAUUGAAUUUAUAUCUUCCCCCCAUUUUCAGUGACAUGAGAAAUCUCAGAGGUUGCUGUCAUGUAGCACAGGAUUUUAGAUUCAAUAAUUUGAAAUACCAACACAUUGGUAGGUUGUCAUCAGUGUUUGCUGAAUCCUUUUCUUUUUAUUUUUCCUUUAUUAUAAAGAAAACAGAAUUUAGUUACAUGGGUUUUCAUGAUCCUUAAUCUUCUUGCUAUUGUCUUCGAGGAAGAAAAUAAGGCCUGAGAGGUUGUUAUUCUGGACAUUAGCAUAUGUACUGAUCAAAAUUAUUGUUGCAAUCAAUGAGCUGUAUAUUUUCAGCUUUCUUCUUUUCAAUUUAUUGUGUCCUCAUGAGGCCUUUGUCACUCUGGAACAGAAUGUGGUUUUUAUUUUUUGGCUUCUCCAGAUAGAAAUCUUCACAUAGAUUUGCUUAUUCUCUUAUAUUAUUUCCCGAUAUUAUCUGAUUUAUUAAGAGGGUAAUAUUUCAACUUUAACAACUUUGAUUAAAAAAAAAAAAAAUCAUACUCAGCUGAAAAGUCUUCAACAGUAAAAGUACUGAUGGAAAGAUUUGGUAUAUUAUACUAACUAGUCGAGCCCUAUGAGCGAAAGAGUUGUCUCCCCCUCCUCCCAAAGAAAAUCUUUCAUUUCAUUUGUCUGAUUCAUAUCAAUUAGUCUUUGCAGGAAAAUUAACUUCAAGCGCAUUUAUUUUGCUGUUAAAGUUUGGAUUUUCCUGACAUGGUUGACAUUUUCAUGUUAAGCAGUGUAAAAUGAAUGUACCUACCGAUAGCUCUUGGCUAACAAGAGAGAUACUGUUCUUCCUGAGAAAAAACAAGGGAGAUACUGUUACAAUUAAAAGUUGCCUAGACAUACAUUGAAGCAUUGACAAUGAUAGAAUAUUAUAGUAUGAAUUCUCAUUUAUAAUUGAGUUUCAUUUUUUUUUUUUUUAAUGUUUGCAUAUGUUUUGGUGAAAUACUACAUUUUCUUUCAUAAAUGUCAUUUGUCAAGUCCCAACUGCAGAUUAAGGCCCCUGAAACACCCCAUACACUUGAUUAGUUAUCAUGACAUGAAAAAAGAAUAGCUCUUGUAACUUGUUAAAAUGAAUCCCAUGUCCUUAAGAAGGAAAUGGAUUUUAUGAAAGAAAUUGGAAUUUAAUGAUUUUUUCUGAGUAAAAAAACUUUUAGAAUCCCAGAUUACUAAAAAAAUAAUGAUGAUGAAGAAGAAGAAAACAGGAUUUUGGCAUACUUUUUUUUGGGUUAGUAUAAUUAUGACAGAUUACAUUAAUGUACCGUCUAACUUUAAACUCACUGUGAACUUGAAAGAAAACUUUGAAAGAGACAUUAUGAUCUAGUAUGGGUAACUGGAAGUUCAAUAGGGUUGCUAGUGAGCUAUAGUUCAAUUGGUACUUCCUUCUUCUAUAAUAAUUAGUUGGAGGGUGAGUCAUGGAUUAAAGAUCUAUUCGGUGCGUGUGUAAAUUACUAAUUUAAAAAAAAAAAGGUUGAAUAGGGCUACCCUUAUUAAUUUGGAGAUGACUCUGUAAUCUUUAUUAUUUCAAAGUUGGGGGGGGGGGGGGGGGAGGGGGGGGGGGGGGGGGGGGGGGGGGGGUUAAGGCUAAGUUUCAUAAUAGAUGACUUCACAACCUUGUGAGUGAUAUGUUAAAAAUACUAAGAAAUGUUAGGAAACAUGUGAUAGAAUAGACAUCAAAAUUCACUUCUCUUCUAUGGCAAAUAUGACAAAAAACUAUGUCAGUGACUCAGAAAAGAGAUUUAAGUGUGGUGAAGAAAGUAUGCAAACAAUUAAUCAAUUAUUUUAUAACUGGUAGGGGUAGGACUUUAGGAUGAAGCAUUUUUAUAUGGGUUCCCAUUUUCUUGGUAGGAGUAGAAUAAUAGGGCUGGUUUUAACAUAGAUGUGCUGGGGAUGAAUGAUGUGGGUGAUGGAGAGUGUGACAAAGGUAAGCUUUGAACUUUUUUAUGGUACAAAUGUUAAAAGUAAAAUGAAAUAAAAUAGUGUCUGUUCAUGUUUAGUGUGCUGUUGCUUUUCUUUCUGUCUAUGAGGAUGAUAUUACAUGGUUGUUGCUGUAACUUGAUAGAAACGUGUUAUCUUUGCUUUUGAUAUUAUUGUAGUAUAGCCUGAUGACAGAAAUUGUAGUAUAGCCUGAUGACAGAAGGAAGUAUGUACUCAACUCUUGUAUUAGAAUGCUGUGCUUUUUUGUCCAAACCAUUUAUAAUGUCUGUGCUUUUUGGUACUAGGUACACGUACCUAUACGGCUAUUCCAUAUGAAGUUUACUGUAUGAGAAUUUGGCUCAAGUAGAAAAGCCAAAAGGCACAGUUUUCAGUGCCUAAAUACUUUGCAGGUCUGAUUUUAAUGAGUUUGGCUUUCCAAUUUGCAUUUAUAACUUUCCUAGUAGAGUGAAGGAAUUUGUUAUUUGUUUUUGUCCGUGUCGUUUGUGAGAUAUAUGCUUAUGCACUCUUCUUGACAAAAUAAUGCACCUUAGUUUUCGAUUCAUUCUUCUCGUUUCGUUCUUGAUCUGUUUUAUUUUCCUUCAUGUUCUUUUUUGUUGGGCAAGCAUGCAUUUUCUUUAAAAAAUGAGUUUUUGUUCAGAAAUAUGCUGCUCUCCGGGCGUGAUAGCGAAGGCAUCAAUGGGAUGGAAAUGGGUCCAAUACCUUUUUCAUUUCUUUCCCUUUUCAAACGAUAAACUUUGUAUGUAUCUUAAUGAAAUUGUCAGAUUAACUUUCCUGGAGAUUAAGCAUUAGGGUGUUUAGUCCUUCUUGAUCGCGCUAUCGGAUCUGAGUUCCCUUGCUCAAAGUUGCAUUUUUGUCCGGUAUAUAGAUAAAAUGGGAGUGUGACAGAUCUCUUGGAGCAGCAUCUUCUCAUGGUUUUCUUGCAAUAAACUUAACAAUGGCUUUGUUAAGUGCUAAUUUUUCUUCAUUUGUUUAUUGGGUUUAAAAGCUUAAGAGUAGAGCUAAUACUUUUUCUAAAUAAAAUUUUAAUGAGCCGUAUAAAAUCUAAAUAAGCUGGAAAACAAAACUCUGGCAGACUAGUCUAAGAGUUUUGAUUUCCCAAUUGUGGCCCUUUCUUUUAGGUGGAACGUUGCUUUAUACGAUAGUCAUGCAAUCACUGAUUUUUGGACAGAUUUGAUGAAAAAAUAAAAUAGUACAUGUUACUGUUGGCUGUGAUGUAAAUCGUUUUUAUCCCCAAAAAAAUCCCUGGCACAACUGAAGUUAUUUUAGAAUGACUUUUGUCGCUUCUUAUGGCAUUUCCUGAUUAAUGAGAAAUUUUUUUUUUUUAGAAGGAGAUUAGUGACAAGUUGGGUUGUCUACUGACUUAGGUAGGUUAUAACACAAACAAAUUUACAAUUUUUGCCGUAAAUUUCCUGCGUCGCAAAUUGUGACUGGGCUGUAUGUUGUUUUUGCACGAACCUAUUAUUUUUUUUUCUCCUUCACGUGAAAAAUUUGCGUUAAAAAUGGUGUACUUGUUUGAGAAACCAGAUUUUUUAUUUUACUUUUGUAUAUUAUAUGAUUUGUUGUUUUCAAAAUUGGACCAAAAACAGCUGGCAAAGUUGGACCUUAAUUUCCCUUGAUAAAUCAACCUGCUACACCCACCUACAUUAGUAUUUCGUUGCUGUUUCGAGCUUCGGCAAUAGUACCACCCACGUUAUUAUUUCGUUGCUGUUUUUGAGCUAGCAAAUAGUGGAUUAUUACUAUCUAUGGAAUGUAGCCCUUUUUUUUUCAAUUCUUCAUUUUGAAUUUACACAAAUACGACAAGAGAAAAACUGUAUCACCAAAGUAUGCUUCAUCAGCGUUGGACAUCAUAGGAAAUGAACCUAGAAAUUGAUAGGUCGAAUUGAAUGUUUUGGGCUAUAACUUUGACCAAAUUUGAAGGCUACUCAAAACAUGAUCUAGUGCUGAUUCUAUUGUCUGUACUAGCUAGGCUUAAUAGUAUUAGUCCUAGUGCGCAUUAAUUUUUUUGCUUUUGCUUCUGUUUGUGGAUUUUAGUAUUGUCACUUUGGUUCGCUCUUUAUGGGCUCUGUCUAGCUUUGGACUGGUUAGGCCUUUUAUUGAUUAAUCAAGUCAACACUAAGCAUUAUCUCUAGGAUAUAUUUUAGUUUUAUGGUUUAUUUGCCUAUCUUUGCCCCACAAUGAUGAUAUUUUGUCUCAAUUUCUCUAACCACACUGUGCGUCGGUAUGAUAUGCAUUCUGGACCAGCAGGUCGGGGCAGAUCAAUGGAUAAUAAGCCAAAACCUUAUGUAGUGAAUAGCUAAAACUAUAUGGACCACCAAGGGUGGUGGUAUGGUUACUGUCAAGUUGUUUGGGGAUGUAGAGGUCUCAAGUUUGAAUCAAGCAUAGGAAGUGCUUGAGAAGAAUUCCACGCCUUUGGCUUAAUGCCCACUAGUGCCAAUGUGAGGUUGGGAUAAAAACUAUGGCUCACUAACUCUUUGCUUGGGAAAAACCCUAUGUCCUCGGUUUAAUACCUACUACUUGCAAACUUGGACCCAACGGAUAGAAUGCUACAAUAGUAAUGCACAAUUAGAGAAGUUACUCUAGUUGCCCUCUCCUACCUUUUUAUUCCCAAUAAAAAAGCUAAAAUUAUAUGAAUCAACCUAUAUUUUCACCAUAAUUUAGUUCCCGCCAAUAAAGAAAACCAAAACCUAACAUUUGAAAUAGUUAGUUCAAAAUUUCACAAACCACCCCCCCCCCCAUUCUAUCUGAGCGUAUACUGUAUAAUAUCAAAUUUCAGAAAAAAUAAAAUAAAACAUUAACUUUUUUUAUAUAACCAAACCUUAACCUUUGGAUCAAUGAGUGAAGUUGAGGAAAAAUUUCAGAUAGAGAGAGAGAUUUGGUCAACCUUCCAAACCAAUACAGUGUCGUCUUGUUAGAGUUUUGCCAAAAAGGAAAAAAAAAGUUUUAUGUUCUUAACUUUUUUUUCUCUCUAAUUUUUGAAUUGGAAAGUAAAUAACAUAUAAAAAUAUAUUAACUUAUUACAUGAAAAUUAAGGUCUAAAAACCUUUUUUUUAGGAGAUAAAUUUGUAUUUCGUCACUAAGAAAAUAACUUGAAAAAGAGAAGAAAGAAUCUCAAGUUUAGCUGUCUCUUUUAUAUUUUUGGUAAUGUAUUGUAGUUCAAUAGGCGUGGGGCAAAUGGGGCAGAUGUGGGGGUAAAGAUUUGGGGAGGGGGGGGGGUGACCAAUACUACAAGACCAUUGUCUUCCUCAAACCACCAUCACAGAGCCAAACUUCAUUUAAGAGAUCUUCUCAACCUUAUCAAAUCUCAAGAUUUUGUCAAGCUUCCAUCUUGAGUUUGAGAGAGAGUGUUAGAGAUAUAUUAGCCUAUUAAUAUAGGCUCAAGCUUAAUUCUACUUUGUGUAUAGUACAAGUAAACAAGGUAGGCCUAAAAUCCACAACUUAUUACACGUUAACAACCCCCCUCAAACUCAAGGUGGGUGUGAGACCAACUUAAAGUUGUCAACUAAAGCACGAAGAUGUCCCUUAGGAUAUGACUUGGUAAAGAUAUUUGCAAGUUGAUAUUUAGAGGAGACCGAGAACAGCUUGAGAGCACCAUGGACAAUAUGAUAAUAGAUAAAAUGACAAUCAAUCUUGAUGUGUUUAGUCUAUUCAUAGAAGAAAUCAUUGUGAGCAAUAUGAAUGACACUCUGGUUAUCACAAUAAAAAUGAGUAGCAGAGGAUGUGGACACAUCUAAGUCCUUAAGAAGCCAUUGUAGCCAAAGGAGCUUAGAUGUGGUAUCAGCAAGGGCACGAUAUUCUACUUCAGUACCGGAGUGGGCCACAAGAGUUUGUUUCUUACCUCACUAGGAAAUCAGAGAAAAAUCAAGAAGUAAGCAAUAACAAGUGGUGGACCUACGAUUAGUGGGAUCUCCUACCUAAUCAGCAUCAAAUAAUGCACGGAGAACAAGAGGAGACUAUGUAGAGUAGAAAAGGCCAUGGAAGAGAGUGUCAUUUAGGUAUCGAAGAAUGCAUAGAACAACAGUAUAGUGAGUCAAUUAUAGAGUAGAUAGAUACUGGCUCACCUGGUGAAUCACAUAGGAAAUGUUUAGAUAAGUGACAGUGAGAUAAACUAGGCUGCCAACCAAUCGUUUGUAAAGAGAGAGAUUAGACAAUGGUUUCCCCCCUUCCCCCGAGGGAGUCAAAUAUGCAUUAAGUUCAAUUGGAGUGUCAACAGUUUUGCUAUUAAUGAGUCCAGUUCGAGACAAAAGUUCAGAAGCAUACUUAACUUGAGUAAUAUAAAGACCAUCUGUGGAAUGAGUGAUUUCAAGACCCAAGAAGUAGCUGAGAUGUCCAAGAUCUUUCGUCUCAAACUAUUGAUUGAGAAAAUCCUUGAGUUCUUGAAUGCCACUAAGGUUAUCACUAGUUAUGAUCAUAUCAUCCACAUAUAGGAGAAGCAAAAUGCUGUCUUUGUUGGUGCAACAAAGAAAUAAGGCAGAAUCAUAAUGACUGGCAAUGUAACCUAAGCGAGAGAUGGUAGAGCUAAACUUGGCAAACCAAGCUCGUGGAGCUUGUUUAAGGCCAUCAAGUGCAAGUCAAAGGUGACAAACCUUGUUCAGUUCAAUAAAGAGACCAAGAGGAGGUUGCAUAUACACUUCUUCACUUAAAUUCUCAUCAAGAAAUAUAUUUUUGACAUCCAUCUGAAAAAAGGUCACAUUUACUAGUAGCGGCAACUGCUAAGAGGGCACAAACAUAUGAGAUUUGAGCAAUUAGAGUAAAGGUCUCUUCAUAAUCAAUUUCAUACUCCUGUGUAAAACCUUUUCGCAAAAAGAUGAGCUUUGUAUUACUCAAUGGACUCAUUAGAGCGAGUCUUGAUCUUGUAGAUCCACUUACAACUAACCACAGAUUUCGUAGGGGGGAGAGUCACCAAAUCUCAAGUAUGAUUUUUAGAUACUGCAUUAAAUUCCCCUUUCAUUGCAAUCUGCCAUAAAGGGUUAGUGGAGGCCUCACGAUAGGUGUAAGGUUCGUGCAGUGUAGCAAGGGUAGUAUAACAAUGAUAGUCAAGUAAAUUUGCAGGAAUAGAUCUUACCCGAGUUGAGUGAUGAGGCGGAAUGUCUUAUGCAAGAUCUUCAGCAGAUUAGGAGUAGGGGACCCAACCUUAGGGUUGGGUGGCUCAUCUUUGACCUGUUCAUCUUCCAUCUGUUCAUUAAAGUGUGAUCUAGGAGAGGCAUCAAAAAUAUUUGGUGGUUGGACAAAAAAAUUUAUAGGAGGAUCAGGUGUAAUUAUAGAAGGAAUAUGUGGCUAAUCUGAAAAAAAAAAAAAAAAAAAAAAAANNNNNNNNAAAAAAAAAAAAAAAAAAAAAAAAAAAAAAAAAAAAAAAAAAAAAAAAAAAAAAAAAAAAAAAAAAAAAAAAAUCUAAGAUAGUGGAGGUAGAUAGGGAGGCACAGAAGUGAAAGAGCUCGCAAAGGAGUGAUGUUCCAAAAAAAAAACAUUACGGGAGAGACGAAGAUGGUGCGAGACAAGAUCAUAACACCAAUACUCCUUUUGAGUUUCACCAUAACCAAGAAAAUAACAAAGUCUAGACCGAGGCUCAAGUUGGUUAUGCUCAUGUGGCUGAAGAAGAACGAAAUAGGCAAAAUCGAAGGAGCGAAGAUGGUGAUAGUCUGGAGUUGACCCAAAAAAGUGCUCAUAUGGAGUUUGAUUUUGGAUGACGGGACUGAGAAUGCAAUUAAUAACACGAACAGCGUGAAGAGCAGUUUCGCCCCAAAAAGAAGCAAGAACUUUGGCAGAGAGAAGGAGAGCAUAAACGGUGUCAUAUGACAAAAUUUUUGUUUGAUUCUACCAUUUUGCCGAUAGGUACUUAGACAAGUUAGUUGAUGAAUAGUGCUAUAGGAAUGCAAAAUAACUUGGAAAGUAUAUUGAGUGCAUUCAAGAGCAUUAUUAGACUGAAAAUUUUUGAUAUGUUUGGACAAUUGAGUUUCAACCAUUUUUACAAAAUUAGAAUAUACUUACAAUAAUUCAGAACAAUGUUUCAUAUGAAAAAUCUAGCUAUAGCAAGAAUAAUCAUCAACAAGGACAACAAAAUAUCGAGAUCCACCAAUACUAGAGACAGAGAAAGGUCAACAGACAUCAAAAUGAAUUAGGUCAAAUAUAUCGGUAGAUAUUUAAUCAAUAGUAUUGAAAGGAAAAACUGGUUGUUUUCCUAAUUGACAUAAAACACAAUCAAAAUUUUCUGUGGACACUAAACCUAACAAACCUCUAGAAGCCAAGUGUUGUACCCGAGAGAAAGAAGUGUGACCAAGUCGGGCAUGCCAAAGUGCAAGGGAAUGAAUAGAAGAAACUAUAGCAGCUGUAGUAGUGACAAAAACAAGAGCAACAGGUGGAAGACGAAGGUUGUUCACGGAAAACAUACGCCCAACUUUGGGACCUGUCCCCAGCUCCUGUCCCGUCCUCAGAUCCUGCACAAUUCAUCCAGAAUAAUCAAAGGUAAUGCGAUAACUCAACUCAACUAAUUGUCCCAUAGAAAAUAAAUUGUAAGAGAGGUUAGGAACAUUAAAGACCCCAAGAACUGAGAGGUUGGAGGUCGAGAGUAGAAAGUUUCUACUCUCGACCUCCAUCCUUAACCGAAAUAACUCUUUCACUUUCAUAAUAAUGGAAUGGAGAUGAGAUAAUGAGUUUAAGACCUCAUGCAUGUAUAAAUUAAUUUUUUAUUUUUUGUAAAUGCCAUUCUUUUCUAGUUCACCUAUGUAGUAAAAGUUUCUACAUAGGCUGUCUUGCAUUGCAUUAGAUUACAUGGGCUGCCUUUGCAUGAGAAAUUAUAUAUAAUUUUUACUAAUAAAAAAUUUAAUUUAUACUAUAAGAUAUAUUAUUUAUAUAUUAAAAAAAAUGCUCAUAUCUUAUGAACUUAUUUGUAAAUUUAAACAAUCAAAUACCAAAGUUUAUAUAUUAACAUGUUUAAAUUUGUCUCAUUUAAUAUUCAAGCUUUUUAAUAUGACCAUGACUUUUGAGUGGAGUUGUGGUAUGCCUUUGUGUUAAAACCUCUUUCUCUCUCCUUUGUGUGUGUGUUUAUUUCUCCAAAAAAAAAAAAAAAAAAGCUUUUUAAUAUGGAUUUCAGCUUGGGUUAUUUUGUUUUGUUUUAUUUUUGAAAGCAGAUUUGGUUGUUUUUAAAACAAACAAAUAUACACAAAUUUUUUUUUUUCAUUACGUAGCCAUUUUUUCUUUUUGUAGCAGGUUAGUUAGAUGGUAUUGAAGUUGUUGAACUAAUCCCACAUUAAUGAUGGUCCAGUGUCCUCAGGCGCUUUUAAAUAUAACCAAGACUUUCUUGGAUUGUUUGGUUUUGGACAAUUAAUAAGAUGAAGUAGAUGUUGUGGAAACCUUUCCUCCUUUUCUUCCUAUCUCUAUAUCUAAUCCUACCUUAUUAGCCAGCAUUCAAGGCAGGCCGGCCCUAGGCUUAGGCCAAUUAGGCCAUUGCCUAGGCCCCUUUACUAGAGAAGGCCCCAAAUUUGGGGGCAAAUUUAUUUAUUUAUUUUUUAUAUAUAAAUUUUUUUGAGAAAUAUUAGAACAUUUUAGUGUACAUUUUUUUUUUCACUAUUAAGGAGGCUCAAAGAAUUAAGUAAAGCUAGAGGUAGAGAUUAGACAAAUUUAAAUAAAUAGGUCUUACAAAUAGACGUGUUACUAAUCACAAGUAAUUCAAAUAAGGAAAUGUUAAAAAUAUUAUAAAUUUUACUACAUAACUUUUAUUUAUUUAAUUAUUUUUAUUCAAGAUAAAAAUUAUACUCUAGCCUAAUCUAAGUAUAUAUGUGUAUGAAACUCUUCUAGAGACUUAAAUCUCGGCCAUUGCCCCCCCACAAGAAUUUAUACUUGUAGAGUGAUUACUGCACUAAGAGUGCGUGGUGGUCUCCAUAACUUUUAUAAUUUGAUGUGACAAUGAAUAUGAUAGGUAGAUUUCAACAAACUAUUGAAUGCAUUUUUGAAUGAAUAUUUGUGAUUGGUGAUAUAUCUUUGUAAUUCUCAUGUUGUAAAUUUUAUAAUAUUUCUAGUAUUUUUGUAAGCCUUAUGUCAUUGAUCACAUUUAUUACAACACCAGUUUGUAGUAAAAUUUGUUAUAACUUUAGCAUUUUCUUUAUAAAAAAAAAUCGUAUUAAAGAGUAAAAAGAAUGGAUUUUAAAAAAAAUGAUUAUAUAAAAUACUAGUUAAAUAUUAUUUAAAUAAUAACAUAAAGACCUUAUUUGAAAAUUUUGCCUUAAGUCUCGAAAACGCUUUUGCCAACCCUAAUUCAAGGAGUAGGGACUAUAGAGUUUAUCCCUCUAAUUCCUAAAGGGUUGAUAUAGAGGCUUGCUGGUGGCCUCCCUCAUUUAACAUAGGGGGCGAACCAUUGGGUCAUUCAUAUAUUUCAAGUCCCCCACACCACCUCCCCCCCCCACCCAACCCCACCCCACCCCACCCCACACACACACACACACAUAUAUGCUGCUGUUAAUCCCUCAAUACCACUAUUGCAGUAGUGGCUAGAUGUAACAGUGGUAACAUUAUUAAAACUAAGGCCAAAGGUAUUCCUACUUGAACCUAUUGUAGCCAAGGUAAGUGCUAUACUAUGGGCUCUUCAACUAGCCUUAGAAGAAAACCAUCAAAAUGUUAUGGUUGAAGGAGAUUCAAAGCUUUGUUUUGAUGUUGUGGAUUGCCCUAAUAGUGCCAUGGCUUGUCUAUCAGACUAUCACCAAUAUCCUGUUGAACAUCUUGGAGUUGAAUAAGUGUUUUCUAGGCUGCAACCACAACUAAAUUUGAAGAAAUUAUAAUGUUGUAGGAGAGAAAGGAAUUUAAAUGGAUAAUGAGAAUAACUAGUAAAUAUAAAGAUUUUAGUCUUUUUUUUUUCUAUAGAAUAUACUUAUGCACCGGAUGAGCCUCAACAUCACCCUUCCCUGCGUCUUAAAAAAGGAGAAGGUACUGGCUGAGAUAUAACUCAUUGGCUUAAUUACAAAGAUUACCAAUUGCAAAUUACUAUUGUAAGGACCAAAUUUGAACUCCCAGCCCACUACGAGGAUGGACUUAGGCCUAAAAAGUCCAAAACAAUAAAUUUAUAGAGAAUGGGUUGGAAAACUGGGUUUUGGUUAAUCAAACGAACACUAGAAUGUGUUCAGAUGAUAAGAGAAUGAAAAGAAGAAGAUUUGUAUUGAAGAAAAAUCAUACUCAGCAAGGUCCGAGGAUGUCUGUUCUUAUUUAUUAUUCUCUGGUUCGAUUACAAAUUUGGUUUCUAAAUGCUACAAUGUUUUCUCUUUUUUUCGAUCCCCCCCUCUAGUUGCCUCUCUUCUUCUCUUAUACUCUCUUUCCUUUUCAUCCCCACCUUCCACGUGCAUGCUAGAUGGUUGGUGUUGAUACUUCUCUCAUCAGCGUUUCCCAUAAGUUCUCAUGUAGUAGCUGUAAGGCUGAAAAACCAUUGUUCUGGUAUCACUUCUACAUUAAUGUGGCUAGAGAGUUAGCUGCAGAGCAUUUAAUGUGGUGGCAGCAUAUUUCUCCUAAGAUAUUUUAGGACUUUCUCUUGUCUGACAUUUCUACAAUGCUUAUCAACACCAAAGAAAUUUCUUGGAACGUCACCCUGUGCGAUAGACAACCUCUUCGUACCUCGGCAUUGGUCAGCUGAGGACGCAUUUAUCCUCGACCCACCCUCUUGAGCCAUUAUGUCCAAGACUAACCUCGAUUUACCAGCACAAUCUUUUCUAAUAAAGAUUUAUAUUCCUCGGGUAAUGCCUCAUCCUCGGGUUGGGCCACAGGCCCGAAACAUAAACAAAUGACAAACCCCUGGGCCCAAUAUCCCUACAACUGCUAAUUGGCCAUAAUUGUUUUUUAAGAAACAAUUUUAACUACAAAGAGCUAAUGACAUUAAAACUUUUUAACAAUUAAUGAGAAUGGUGAAUAUAAUGUUAAUUCAUUUUGGUCUUCAUCUAAACUAAUCACAUAUAUAAAUUUUUAUUCUUAUUCUUAUUCUUAGUUUUUUAAGUCAGUUAGUUUGGGAAGGGUGAUUUGAACUCGAGAAGUCCCCUUUCAAAACACUAAAAGGCGUUAGUUGAGUUAUUUAUUUAUUUAUUAUUAUUUUUAUAGAUAAGAUCAAGGGAGUCAAUCUCGUACCGGAUGUUAUACCGGUUUGACUAGUGGAACGAUAUAUUUUCAGUACCGGUCAAUAUCAGUGUACCGUUUCGGGUUUACCGUUAUUUUUUAUAUUUAUAAAAUAUAUAUAUAUAUAUAUAUAUAUUUUAUACAUGUGUAUAUAUAUUAUAAUAAAUAUAAAAGUUUAUCAUAAAAUAUUACCUCAAUUCAGAACAAAUUAUUCAUGAUUUUAGACUUCAGCAUCAAUUAAAAGAAAAAAAAAAAAACAAAGUAUAAAAAUAGAAAGCUUAAUUGUUCAUUGUAUGCUAAGAAAACAAAUAAUACUAAUAAGUUAAUGCAAAUAAAUUAUCAUUCCACCCUUACAAAAAUCCAAAAAUUACAAAACUAAAAUAAAUAAAUAAAGCUCUUUUUUUUUUUUUUUUUUUUUGGGUACCGGUCGGUAAGCCCAAUAUAAGUUGGUAAUGCCCGAAAUUGGUCGGUAAGGCUAGUACGAUCGAUAUUUAAACCAGCACGAAACGUUGGCGUUUCAAUAUCAGUAUACAUACGGUAUUGACCACCUUGGAUAAGAUAGAAUUUCAACAAAUGACAUUCGCUCCAUAAUGAUUACUCAUUAUUAUCAAGCCAAGACACUAGUUGGUUGAAUAAAAGAUCCAGAGUUCAAUCCCCGCCUACACUAAAAAUUGAUUGGUGUCUCAUCAGGGGUAGACGUCAUAGGUUGAAAGUUUCUCUCAAAUAAAUAAAUAAAUAAAUAAAUAAAAUAUAUGUAUAUAUAUAUAUAUAUAUAUAUAUAUAUAAGAAGAGACCUCAUGUGAGAGUGCAUGAGGUCUUGUCAUGUUCCGCUUUAAGCUUGCAUUUAGCUUAAAAAAUGGGUUGGCCUAAUUACCAAAUCAGAACCCAACCACUCUCUUACAGUUCUUUGUACUCAAUUAAAAAAUGAAACGACAUUCAUUCCAACCUUCGUUUAGAAAUUUGAAAUGAUGAGGGUUUUAUGUUCAGAACUUAAUUGCUUCAGCAAAACCUUCUUCUGUAUCCAAACUAAGAGGUAUAAAAUAGUAAAUACUAACUCCUUUUUUUUUUUUUUGGCUAAUUGAAGUGGGUUGUUUGUAUCUAUAUGGAUUGGGUCACAAUCAAAACUCCAAUGGAGGCGAAACUUCUGUAGUGGAUUCGCUUUGCAAAGAGCCUAAGAGUAGGUAUAUAUUUUAUUCUGAAUCUGUAAUGUUUGAUAAAAUGCUUGAAAGAAAAUUGAUUAAUUAUAUUUCUAACUUGAUGACUUUAUAAUUUUUUUUUUUUUGGUUAUGUAUUUUGUUUGGGAUUAGAAACAAUUAAAUGUGGGAAAAGUUGAUUGAAAGCACUUGCACAUGAAGGCGUUAACUCAACUAAUGUAUGCUAUGGGGGAGCUUCAAUUGGGUUGAAAUCGGGUUGAGAGCAGUUCAUGGGAUGUGUGAGUACUACACAUGAUUGGUACACCCUUUCUUAGGCUCAAUGCUUAUAAGGCAAGGGUGGGAGGCGUCUCUCCCCGAUGUGGGAUUGAACAAAUUUGUGAGGGUGGCAUCAGUCCUUGGCCUAUUCUCAAAGUGGACAAUUCCUUCUUAGGGAAAGACUAAGUUUCCUCCCACAGGAUGGAUUUGCCUGUUAGUGUAGACUGUAUAGUCUAGGGUCAGAUUUUCUUUAUUUCUUACAUGACUAAAUUAUAUAUUAUGAAUAAACAAUUUGACGAAUUUCUGAAUCUGGAGAUGUAUUCCUGUGCUUUAGUUCACUACUUGAAAUCAGUCAGAUUCACAUAAUAUGAAUUUUUGAUGAAUUAUUAUUUAUCAUUUUAUAAAGUCUAUUAUACAUCAAUUACUGAUUGUAGUUUCCUUCAGGUUUAUGCCGAAGGACCAGCCCAACCUACUGGAGGAGCAGCGGCUAUUGCCAUCCUAAUAGGACCUGAUGCUCCUAUUACUUUUGAAGGCAGAGUCAGAGGGACUUAUAUGGCUCAUGACUAUUACUUUUACAAGCCAAACCUAGCUAGUGAAUAUACGGUAAUUUUCUCCAAUUCCAGAUACUGCUGCCAUUGGCAUUAUGUUUUGCCAAUUUGAAAUUUUUUUAACCUUUUCAUUUUCCUGAUUGUACUGUACUACUCUUUCUUUAAUUUUUUGUUGCAAAUUUUUUAUUAUAGGCAUUUGAAUUUGGCUGUCAUUUGCAUGGUAUUCAAUCAAGAAGAUUCAAUAUCCGGUGAUCAAGUUGCUUGUGGUAGACUCCCAUUAAUUAAUAUCAUUGUAGGUUGUUGAUGGCAAGCUUUCUUAAACAUGCUAUCUCAUGGCUCUUGAUUCUUGCUACAAACAAUUGUGUAAUAGUAGGAUUCUAUGGAAGUCUUGAAACCAUAACUAUGUUCUAAUUUUCUGAUAGGGCUUUUGUAGGAAUUAAUUUAGUGGUUAAUCAUUUUACUUGCCAUUAUUGGAGAUGAUAUUCUUUGUAGAAACUAUUUUAAUGAAAUGAAAAUCACACACAAGUUCUGCUUUUAUUGUGUGCUGUUAAAGGUUGAGCUUUCUAUUGUUUUUAGUCUCUAUAUUAGUUCAACCUUAAUUAAAAAGAAUCUGAUUGUUUGAGAAUCUUUUUUUUUUUUUUUUUUUUUUUUGUAAGUACUUUUUUUCUUGGCCUGUAUAACUUUAUUUUUUACAUUUUACAUGACUAUUUUUUUAAAAAAAAUCCCAAGAUUCAAUCAUUCAAAUGGGUUUCUUAGUGUUUUUGUUGUAUGGAUUUUUCCUGCUAAUGUGGCUGUAGCUUAUUCUCUCUCUUUUUUCUCUUGUUGUAAUGCAGACAGAUAGUUUUGAAUACUUAAAGGAAAGCCGCAAUACUGUCUUUGAUUGAACUCUUGGAGUAUUUGGCUAGAGUUAGUGAACACUCUAUGUCUCUAUCAUCCCAUGUAGGCAUGGAAAUGAAGCUAUCCUUGAUGGCAGUGAUGUCAUCAAUAGUGGGCGAGUGAAGCGAAGGCUACUAUUCUUUGUAGCCAAAAAUUAGAAGAGAAAAUAACAAUAAUGUUUUCAAGAUAUAGAAACAAACUUCAAAAUUUAGAUUUUCAUCUAUAAAGCAAAUGUAAACUUCUCUUUCAUUUGUUGUCCACGGAAAGCUUGUAAUGUGAGUUUCUCCUUACAGUUUGCCAUUUCCUCCCCCUCCUUCCAUGGUACUUUUUUUCCUCUUGUAAUAUGUUCAGGGCAAAAAUGAGUUUUUCUUAUACUUGUUUAUGCCUAUUACAAUUUUAACUAAGUAAUUUAGUUCACAAGAAGGUGAUCUAAAAAUUGAAAUUUUCAAAUGCCACCUUAAAAGCACCACCAUCUCCCCCCCCCCCCCCCCCCCACCCCCCCCUUUUCUUUUUCAUUUGAUAUAAAACUAGUUACAAUUCAAUAUUUCGGAGAUAACGACAUUGGUAAAUGGAAACAUUACAAUGAUAGAAAAUUUUCUAAUUCAAUUUUUUUUUUCAUAAAUAAAACCUAUCACACUGGAUUAUAAACACAUCAAAAGAUAAAAUUUAUCACAAUUUUUUCCGAAAAUUUCUAAUUUAGAAUACAUCUAUCUGAAAAUAAAAUUUGUCACAAAUCAGCAUACAAAUAGAUGAUCAUCCAUCUUAAAAUCGGUCACAAUUCUUUUUGGAAAGUUUCUAAUUUAAAAUACAUUCAUAAGAAAUAAAACUUGCCACAACUCAAAAUACAAAAAGAUGAUUUUUAUAUAACCAAAAAGAAUUUAGCAUGUAAUCCAUUCUCUCCGAACUAACACUUCUCUUGGAAUUUAGAUGUUACAUUCUUAUUUUAAGAAAAGUAAUUUAAUUUAGCCAAUGGUAAGAGAAAUAAUUUCGAAAAGGCACCUUUCCUAUGUAGAAUUCCUCAAGUACGCUAUGCUGUCCAAAGCAAAAGGCCUCUACGGGUCUGGAAGGAAAAGACAGAUAGGGAAGCAGUAAUGUCAGCAGCAACUCUAAUUCAAAAUCAUAAUAAUAUUAAAAAAAAAAAAUGCAAUACUUUCUAUGUUAAAGAAGCCAAGAACUAAAGUCCCCCCAAAAAGUAAAAGUUCAAAACUGACUUUCUAACUUUCAAUUUUGUCAUUUUAGUCUUUUAACUUUCAAUUGUUAUCAAUUCGGUAUUAUGUUAACCAUCUGUUAAGUGUCUCUGUUAAAUGAGCAAAACGACGCCAUUUUGACUCCUUUUUAUUUUUCAUACUUAAAAGAAAUUAAAAAAACUGUUAUUUAAAAAAAAAAAAACAACAACAACAUUUAGGGGAACGACGUUGUUCCCCUUGCUUGAAAUCAAAACACAAAUUGUGUAACUUUGCUCACAGCCCUAAAUUGCGAAUUUUGGGGGAAGGAGGGAGAGUCCGUUUGGGUCGGUAGCGGCAAUAGUGAUGAGGUGAGAUUGAGAGAGAGAGAAACCGAGAUUUGAGAGAGAGCGCCCGAUCAAUCUCACCAUGUUAAACAUACUUUCUAUGUUAAACAAGCCAAGAACUAAAGUCCUCCCAACCCACCGCUGAAAAAAAAAAAAAAAAAAAAAAAGAAAAAAAAAAAAAAAAAAAAAAAAAAAAGGUUCUCGUUCAAUAAGAUUCAUUUCGGAGUUGAACUAAUAUAGCGACUGAAAAUAGUAUAAAUUAGAAAGUAACAUUAUAACUAAACGAGCAGUCAAGGAAAUCUUGCAUUCAAGACUAACAACAAAAAUUCUCAAGUUCUCAACCCAUCCAUAUCCAAUUCAUAGACCACAAGAGUACCAUCAAUCUUUGUAGUCAAAUGGUACCCUUCAAUAUGGGAAUGGUUAAAAAAGAAAAAAGAAGUAAAGAGCCAUUACCACAAAACCAAUUAAUUCUCAUGUAAAAUUUCAAUAAUAAAGCCUAGCUUAACUGAAUGGCACCUCUUGUUCUAUCCAUGACACUCAGGAUUCAAAUCCCCCUCCUCUUAUAACCAUUAAAUUAUAAAAUUUUAGUAUUAAAAAUUACAAAUUUAUCCAAAAUAAAUCCAAGCAAGAACAAUUAAGAACCAAGUAUCAAGACACGAAUAACAGUUUUCUCUCUAGGUUUCUCACGGAACUUUAGAGGUGAAAAAAGGGUUGCCUCCUGGCAAAACGUUCUCUCCGUUUCGGCGGUGGAAAACUUUUCUAACGCAUCUCAGCCUCUGGAACGUCAUGGAUGAGAUUGCAACGAAGUGUGUGGGUUUACGGUUGACGGAAAAAGAAGAAAGCGAGGUGGACCUGACGCCAUCGGUGACAGAAACAGGACACGUUCUAGUGGGCCGGUUUUGCAUGAAACGCCGAGUUAGCCUUGAAUCGGUGGCGCGAGUGCUAAGGUCAGUUUGGCGGACUGCGAAGAACUUCGAGGUCUGCGAUAUGGGCGAAAACAAAGUAUUGUUUCAGUUUGAGGAUGAGAACGACCUUGACAGAGUGCUUUUGCUAAGUCCCUGGGCUUUCGAUAAGUAUCUGGUACUCCUCCAUAAAUUCGGUGUGGGCGAAGCGGUAAACAAAGUCCAGUUCAACCAGGCGUCGUUCUGGGUUCAGAUUCACGGGCUUCCCACCAUGAGCCAAACCAGGGAAGCCGGAUUACGUAUAGGAAGUAUACUCGGUAAGGUCGAGAAAGUCGACGUGGAUGAGAAAGGAUUUUGUUUGGCGGGGUACUUACGCAUCCGAGUUACGAUAGCCAUAACUCAACCAUUGUGCCGGGGAAGGAUGGUUCGCAUAGGAGGAGCGCCGCCGAAGUGGGUAGAUUUUAGAUACGAGCGGCUACCCAUCUUCUGCUACUGGUGUGGGAAGGUUGAUCACGACGAACGAGACUGCACUCAGUGGCUGCGAAGCAAAGAAUCUUUAAGGGCAGAGGAUAAACAGUUUGGGGCUUGGUUGCGCGCAUCACAGGAUCGGCUCCAAAGACCACAGCUGGUUCUUGCAGCAAAGCAAAGUGGUGAAGGUAAAGAAGGUCCAAUCAGUGAAGAUGGCUUCGACGAGGGUGUUGCACAAACCGCCCAUGCGAUAGCUCUGAGAGUGGCCGACCAAGGUCAGACGCACGUGCGGGACGACGUGGACCCCACUAGGACUGAAACAGCAAGUACAGCUACCAUGCGCUCACAUAGGCAGGAGAAGAUCCCAAGAAAUCCGACGCCCUUUGAUUUCGAAGAAAAGCUGAGAGAAAUUGACGCCGCAAUUUCUGAAACUGAUACGAAGCUGACAGAUUUACCAUUACCAGAUCAUACACCGGAUUGUGAGGAAAACAAGGAGAGAUUUUUGGAGAUUAAAAAAUUAAAUGUGAAGAAGGAUGAGCCGAAGAAGUCAGUGGAAUUUUUGGUUGGGCCCACGUCUAUAGUGGAAAAGGCAUCUAUGGAUUUGGACCCAGCCUUACCCACUCCUAAUAAUACUUCAAUGGGCCAAGCUAUAAGUCAAGCCCAAGUCCAUUUUUCUAUAGGACCUCAUAAUCCAAGCCUACCAAGUGCGACAAAAAUAAGGAAGUUAAGGAGCCCAGCUCAGAAAAAGAAUAAAAAAGAACGUAACGUGACGGGGAAAGAAAAUGCAUGGCAUGGGGCUCCGGUUAUAAACAAACGGGGUGAGGAGCACACGGAUAAGGUGAUGAGUUCCGAAGACAACGAAGUAGGGCUGAAGCGAAAGAAAUGUGUUCCUCUAGAAGAGAUAAUGAUGGGAGAGGAAGUGGGGAAAAAACAGAAAAUAGAAGGAGAGGUUCUGGCGCUUAGUAAAAUAAUGGCAACACAACUUGGAUCGGCAGCGGCUGCUAGACAGCCCCGCCGGGAGCAAUGA
rnacentral:sRNA from 1 species